CCUUACCAGAGCCUGACAUCCCUCCUGAAAGGCCGGGUAAUGCUGGUCCUCUCUUCGGAGCAGGAGUGACAGGUGGUGCAUGGUUGUCGCAGCUCGUGUCGUAGAUGUUGGGUUAAGUCCCGCAACGAGCGCAACCCUUGCUGUCAGUUGCCAUCAUUGAGUUGGGCACUCUGACGGGACUGCCGGGGAUAACCCGGAGAAGCGGGGAUGACGUCAAAUCAUCAUGCCCCUUAUGUUCUGGGCGACACACGUGCUACAAUGGCCAGCACAAAGGGAUGCGAAGGAGCGAUCCGGAGCGAACCCCAAAAGCUGGUCCCAGUUCGGACUGCAGGCUGAAACCCGCCUGCACGAAGUUGGAGUUGCUAGUAAUCGCGGAUCAGAAUGCCGCGGUGAAUGCGUUCCCGGGUCUUGUACACACCGCCCGUCACACCAUGGAAGCCGGGGGUACCCGAAGUCGGUCAAUGGCUGCCUAAGGUAAAACCGGUGACUGGGGUGAAGUCGUAACAAGGUAGCCGUAGGAGAACCUGCGGCUGGAUCACCUCCUU
rnacentral:rRNA from 1 species